CCUACGGGUGGCUGCAGUGGGGAAUAUUGCACAAUGGGCGCAAGCCUGAUGCAGCCAUGCCGCGUGUGUGAAGAAGGCCUUCGGGUUGUAAAGCACUUUCAGCGGGGAGGAAGGCGUUAAGGUUAAUAACCUUGGCGAUUGACGUUACCCGCAGAAGAAGCACCGGCUAACUCCGUGCCAGCAGCCGCGGUAAUACGGAGGGUGCAAGCGUUAAUCGGAAUUACUGGGCGUAAAGCGCACGCAGGCGGUCUGUCAGGUCGGAUGUGAAAUCCCCGGGCUCAACCUGGGAACUGCAUUCGAAACUGGCAGGCUAGAGUCUUGUAGAGGGGGGUAGAAUUCCAGGUGUAGCGGUGAAAUGCGUAGAGAUCUGGAGGAAUACCGGUGGCGAAGGCGGCCCCCUGGACAAAGACUGACGCUCAGGUGCGAAAGCGUGGGGAGCAAACAGGAUUAGAUACCCGAGUAGUC
rnacentral:rRNA from 1 species